UCCACCUCCUCUAGACCUCAUUUAAGGGCUGACCACCACUAAGGCAGUAUUUCUUAGAGACUGAUCUUUGGCGGAGAUCACUUCAGCAUUUCCCAGCGAAGGCAUCUGUAUCGGUGAAAGGGGAGAGUAAUGGCUGCAGUGUUAUCCCAUGGAUUUCAAGAGGAUGCUGCCUCCAGGAGAGCUGGCUUGGAUCACACUGGGAAGCACAGUAACUCAAAGCCCCGGGGAACUGAAACUCUCCAAGAGCUGAUGCAAAUGAGACAGUUCUCUUCAGGCUGCUUCUCUUCUGUUGGAGACUUUGUGAGAGAUCCCUUGUCAGGAUCCCAAAUAACUUGAAACAAGUGAAGGCAUUGGAAUCACUACAGCAGCAGCAGUCGUAUCAUUAGAGCAAGGUUGUUUGCCUUGCCAGAAGAUUUCCUUGCUCCCAUCAGCAGAGGCAGAUUUCUGACACGCAGCGGUUUCACCGAUCGUAUUUCAAGUGACCCUUGUAAUUGAGCUCAGUGCCGUGUGCCUUGCUGGGGACGUAGCCUUCCUCACUGUGUGAUGCAAGAUGGUGGAGACCUCAUCCAGCCCCAGCUGUGCAGGAGGAGAGGAGCAAAUGGAAUGCAGGAGGUAAGUGGUGGGGCCAGACACCCACACUGUGUCUGAGGAGUGGCUUGGCACAAUGCCUUGGUGGGCAACAGAGCAAAGGGCUGGUUUGAGGGGCUGCAGGGGACAAAAUUCCCCAUUGCUUCCCUUUGGACCUGUUGUUCAGAUCUCUAUUCUUGAUGCUAGUAGGUUAUUUGAUACUACAGGGCUCCCCAACCCUCCUGGCAAAGCAUCCUUGUGCGUUCAGAUGUCCUCCCACUUUAGGUGAUACCUUGCAAAAUAUUAUAGUUUCUUGGAGUUAUAUUUUACCUCAUAUUUAUAAAUAUGCAGAAGAAACACUAACCUGAAUACAGUCAAGUACCAUCCUCCAAAGAGAGGACUAAGCCCAGCCAAGCAAUGUUUGCACCUCCAGAAGAGGUUUCAUUGGAGAAAA